rnacentral:rRNA from 1 species
CAGCGGCCCUAGUGGUGAUCGUUAUUAUUGGGCCUAAAGCGUCCGUAGCCGGUUCGGUAAAUCUCUGGGUAAAUCGUUGGGCUUAACUCAACGAAUUCUGGGGAGACUGCCGAACUUGAGACCGGGAGAGGUCGGAGGUACUCCAGGGGUAGGGGUGAAAUCCUGUAAUCCUUGGGGGACCACCGGUGGCGAAAGCGUCCGACCAGAACGGGUCCGACGGUAAGGGACGAAGCCCUGGGGCGCGAACCGGAUUAGAUACCCGAGUAGUC